AAAAUGCACGACGCUCAGCUGAUGCAGCCAUGCCGCGUGUGUGAUGAAGGCCUUAGGGUUGUAAAGCUCUUUCGCCAGGGAAGAUAGUGACGGUACUAGUAUCAGAAACCCCGGAUAUUUCCGAGCCAACAACCGUGGCUUACUCCGUGCCCCCCGCCGCUAUAAUA
rnacentral:rRNA from 1 species